rnacentral:rRNA from 1 species
GUGAGGAAUUUUCCGCAAUGGGCGAAAGCCUGACGGAGCAAUGCCGCGUGAAGGAUGAAGGCCUAUGGGUUGUAAACUUCUUUUCUCAGAAAAGAAUUAUGACGGUAUCUGAGGAAUAAGCAUCGGCUAACUCUGUGCCAGCAGCCGCGGUAAGACAGAGGAUGCAAGCGUUAUCCGGAAUGAUUGGGCGUAAAGCGUCUGUAGGUUGUUUAAAAAGUAUUCUGUCAAAGAUUAGGGCUUAACCCUAGAUAGGCAGAAUAAACUUUUAAGCUAGAGUUUGGUAGAGGCAGAGGGAAUCCCCGGUGGAGCGGUGAAAUGCGUAGAUAUCGGGAGGAACACCAAAGGCGAAGGCACUCUGCUGGGCCAAUACUAACACUGAGAGACGAAAGCGAGGGGAGCAAAUGGGAUUAGAAACCCUUGUAGUCC